rnacentral:lncRNA from 1 species
GUCGAGACUCCUCUACCCUGUGCAAAGGUGUAUGAGUUUCGACCCCAGAGCUCUGUGUGCUUUCAUGUUGCUGCUUUAUUUCGACCCCAGAGCUCUGGUCUGUGUGCUUUCAUGUUGCUACUUUAUUAAAUCUUACCUUCUACAUUUUAUGUAUGGUCUCAGUGUCUUCUUGGGUACGCGGCUGUCCCGGGACUUAAGUGUCUGAGAGAGGGUCUCCCCUCGGGGGUCUUUCAUUUGGUGCGUUGGCCGGGAAUUCGAGAAUCUUUCAAAGGAACCAAAAGCUUAGAACAAAUUGUCAAAGUUAGUAUGAAGCCAAUCAGAGCAAUUCAGUGAGAAGCUGAGAGAAGCCAGAUUGAAUCAGUCUUGAAUGAGUCAGCUUGGAGAAAGAGUUUGAGCCAGAACAGUUGAGUUGAACCAGCCAGCCAGUUUCAGAAAAAAAAAAACAAAAAAACAAAACAACAACAACAACAACAACAAAAAUACUAGAAAGGGUGAGCUUAUUCAGCAGUAAGCCUCGGAGAUGAUAAUUACAUCAGGUGAAUAAACGUUCCUUUUACACAUUACCAUGGGAGCAGAGUGGGCAUCAGAAGCAGGGGCUAGGCUAAAAGCUUUAAAGAUUGGCCCUCUGUGACCUACCUCCACCAGUGAGGCCUCAUCUCCUAAAGCUUCUGUAGCCUUUCAAAGUGCCACUCCCAGCUGAGGAACAAGGGUUCAAACACAAGCCUUGAAGCACAGUUCAAGUUCAAAGCAUCACAGCUGAGCUGUGUAGACAGUUUGGUCCCCUGUGCAGAUCCCAGCCCUUCCCAAUCUGUCAUUUGAAGGGACAGGACUGUGGGCUCACGCUGCAGAGGCUGAGCAGGGAUAGAAGAAGCCCUCCUCUGAGAUGCAGAUGGCCAAAGAACAGCAUGGCAAUGAGCCUUCUCUUGUUCCUCCAUGGAUGACUGGGAGGCUUUAUGUGACAAGGGCAGCAGGGCAAAGGGGCUUGACGCUCUGUGUGUCCUGCAGGGUAGUGUAUUGAGAGGGGUGUGGGAGCUCUCAGGCAACAAUGGCCAUGGCCACACGGUCAUCAAACAUCACCAAUGCUUCUGAAAUGGAAAGUGAAGUAGAUCCACGUAUGAGUUCUUUCACUAUCUGUCCAGGAGUGGGUAGGAGGAGUCUUCUACCAGUGGGGAGGUAUUUUAUAAUCCUCCCACCUCUGGUGCAGCAAAUGACCACAAGCCACAGUAGUUUGAGCCAAUGCGAAUGCAUAAUCUUUCAGCUCUGAAGUCAGCUCGCGCCUGUGUCUCUGGGCUAAAACUAGCUGUCUUUAGGGCUAGCUUCCUAUUUGGCUCUAGGAAAGAAUCCAUUUUCUUCCCUUUCCCAGUUCCCAGAGGCUUCCCACAUUUCUUAUCUUGUGGCUAACAUCAUUCAGGCCUCUGUGUCCAUUGUCUCUGACUUCUUAAACUCUGAUCUUCCCAUUGCCCUCUUUGGAGACCUCUGUGGUUGGUUUUAUUUGGGUCACCAAGAGAAUCUAGAAUAAUCUUCAUAUCUAAACUUGGGUUUUUGUUGUUGUUGUUGUUUUGUUUUGUUUUUAUAUUUACUUAUUUAAUUUGUGUGUUAGGGUGCAUGCAUGAAGAGGUCAGAGGUCAACUUGUGAGAGUCAGUUUUCUCCUGUUACCACUCAGGUAAUUCAGGUUCAGGAAUUGAGUUCAGCUAAUCAUGCAUGGAGCUAAGCUUCCUUACCUCUUGAACAAACUUCAUGGUCCUAACGUUCUUAUUUCAAGAAUAACUAGCAACCCCAACUUCUUCUGCCAUGCAACCUAAUAUUCUCACAGGUUCAAGGAAUUAGGUCGAUAUAUCUUUGUUUCUUUCUUUUGUUCCCAUGUGCAUGUCUGUGCACACUUGUGUGUAUGUGUGCAUAUGUGUGCACAUGCACCUAUAGGCUAGAAGCCACCUUCAGGUGUUGUACCUCAGGUGCCAUCUAUCUUUUAAAAAAACGUGUUGUUGUUUAUGUAUAUGCGUGUGUUCAUAUGUGUUGUUUAUGUAUAUGCGUGUGUUCAUGUGCAAGUAUAUGCAAGUGGCUUUGGAGGUCAGAAAAGGGUGCCAGAUUCUCUGGAAUUGGAAGGACAGGCUGUCAUGAGACAUUGCACAUGGGCGCUAGGAAUUGAGCGAAGGUCAUCUGCAAUAGCAGCAAGCACUCUCAGCCUCUGAACCAUCUUUCCAGCCUCCCCACCCUCCUCUUCAUCCUCCUUCCUCCUCCUCUUCUUCCUUCCCUUCUAUUUUUUUUUUCCUUCAGAGUUUCUCAAGGUUUGGAACUGGCCUGAAACUCACCUGAUAGGCAAUGCUUGGCUGUCUGACAAACCCCAGGGAUCCAUUUGUCUCCCUAUAGGGUUAGGAUUACAGUGUGUACCAGCAUACCCAGCUCUUUCUUUUCUAAACAUGGCUCUGUGAGGUUGAAUUCAGGUUGUCAUGGUUGCAGGGCAAACACUUUACCAACUGAGCUAUCUCCCCAGACCCAGAUAUUUUUUUCUUUUAAAGAUUUAUUUAUUUAUUUAAUGUAUAUGAGUAUACCAUAGCUGCCUUCACACACACCAGAAGAGGGCAUCAGAUCCCAUUAUAGAUGGUUGUGAGCCACCAUUUGGUUGGUGGGAAUUGAACUCAGUGCUGUUAACCGCCAAGCCAUUUCUCCAGCCCCAGGAUAUGGGUACUUUUAUGUUGUAUUAUUUUGCCUAUCACAGACACAGACUAAAGAGAAAGAAUGAAUGCUGUUGUAAUGUAACCCCAUCUCUUUCCUACAGGCUGUCAAGUCCAGGGGGAACCAAGUCACAUUUGGGAAUAUUUGCCCUCAUGAAAAUGAGCAGGAAACACAGCCUGUGAGCUUGGUAACAUACUACCCGUGUGUACAUGGCACCACAUUGCUGCUCUCCCCAUGUCCUCUGGUUGGUUAGAGACUUCCCCUUUCCAGUUUUAACAAGAAGCUUACAGACAUAUUUGCCAUAUUGCAGACAGGCCACAACAACAACAAAGUGUCUCUCAUUUUCUUUCUUUUGUUCUCAUCCUUUUUCUCCAUAGUCUAAACUUUCCUGGUUUUAUAGUUCAACAUCCCUAAGUGUUUCCACUUUCAAUUCCAUGAGAUCAUGUUUAUCUGAAAUUCUUCUAACCACAGGAAGGGUAGGCUGGUAAAUCCAGGGAACGAAUAGCUGUAAGGAAAACUUGGAACUGGGAACUGAGAAGCAGACAAGUUCUACUGAGAACAACGAUUCCGCUCCUGUCAAUCAUCUGUGAGGCACUGAGAGGACUCUCUCCUUUUUUGCUUGACAGAGGUUGUAACUCAGUCGGCUUUGGUUCUCAUCUUGGAAAACCCCCGCCCAGUAAGCCCCAAGCCAAUCUUGUCUUCAGUUUAACAGUGCCAGGGUCUUUCUUAUCUCUGUUAGCUUAUCUCUCCCCACACCUGCUCUGGGACACCUGCUACAUCCAGUCACUGGAGGGAAGUCAUGAUUUGGGGAAAAUCCCAGCUAUACUCACAAGGGCUGUUCUUUGUUCCUUCCUGCUGGUCUGCCUCCUUCUCCUCCUCUUCUUCCUUCUUCCUCUUCCUCUUCAUUUCUUUUCCUCCUCAUUCCUCUGACUGUUCAUCCUUUCACCUUCAGCUCUGAUGGUAACUGGUUUAUACACAGAACUGGCUCAGACCAAAAGAUGAGCAAGUCUAGGUUUUGCCUGUGAGGGGCAAGGGAGAAAACUAAAGGUUUUAAGCCAGGUGCUGGUAGUGCGUGCCUUUGAUCCCCAGCGCUUGGGAGGAAGAGGCAAGUGGAUCUCUAUGAAUUGGAGGCCAGCCUGGUCUACACAGAGAAACCCUGUCUCAUAAAACCAAACCAAAUCAAGCCAGAACG